AACGAACGCUGGCGGCAGGCCUAACACAUGCAAGUCGAACGGGACCUUCGGGUCUAGUGGCGGACGGGUGAGUAACGCGUGGGAAUCUGCCCUCUGGUUCGGAACAACAGUUGGAAACGACUGCUAAUACCGGAUAAUGACUUCGGUCCAAAGAUUUAUCGCCUGAGGAUGAGCCCGCGUCGGAUUAGCUUGUUGGUGAGGUAAAAGCUCACCAAGGCGACGAUCCGUAGCUGGUCUGAGAGGAUGAUCAGCCACACUGGGACUGAGACACGGCCCAGACUCCUACGGGAGGCAGCAGUGGGGAAUAUUGGACAAUGGGCGAAAGCCUGAUCCAGCAAUGCCGCGUGAGUGAUGAAGGCCUUAGGGUUGUAAAGCUCUUUUACCCGGGAUGAUAAUGACAGUACCGGGAGAAUAAGCCCCGGCUAACUCCGUGCCAGCCGCCGCAGUAAUAC
rnacentral:rRNA from 1 species